ensembl:lncRNA MIR646HG MIR646 host gene
GGUUCCGGUCAGGGUGCUGCCUCCCUAUCCACUGGGAGUCCUUUUGCGUUUCAGAUGCUCCCAGGCUCUCCCGCAGUUUAAAGACUUAACUCAGCGGCUUUCAGGGCCUGUGGUUGAGGGACUCCGAAAGAACUGUUGCUGGUGGACCGGUUCAGGGUCUUGACUUCGCCACACAAAAGAACUUGAGAGCACGUCCAAAGUAAAGCUAAGACCUCUAGUACAGUGUUCAAUGGAACUGGUGAGAAAAGACGUCCUUGCUGUGUUCCUGAUAUGAAGAGGAAAGCAGUCCUUCUCCAUUAAAUGCUGACAACAUGAGCCUCCCGUGGUCGGAACGGGCUUGUGAAGGCGGUGCUGGGGUGCACCAGGGCAGCAGCUACAGAUAUUGUACUGUACUCACCCUUCUUCUUGUGCUGAUGUGAGACGAUGAAGCCCCCAGGUGAUGAGAUGAGGUGAGGCCAAACCAGUGACUUGGUGCCUGCAUCAUGAUCUUAACAGGACAGCUGAUGAGUAAAGAAGAACUCAACUCUGUAGUGGGGAGGUCAGAACAAGAGCUCACAUGUAUCCCAGUGCCUCCUGAAGCCAAAAUGAGCAAAUGCAAGAUGGUGGGAUGAGAGGUGAUGUUUACAGAUCUGGAUCUUUCUCCACAACUGUAGCCUGUGGGCCCUGGGACCGAGUAAAUUAAGAUGGAAAC